AUCUUUUUACAAAUGCUAUAUCACUGAACGUCAAACACCUACACCCAUAUUCAUAUAAACAAAGGGAGGGAGCGAGGGGAAAGUUAAUGAACAGUAGUUGAAAGUAAAAAAACAGCAAAGCUUAAUAUUCACAAUUUUGACGUUAUCAUCCACAAGGAUAGGUUACUCAGAUUAAUAAGCUAAAUAUUGCAUAAGCAAACCCAGCCUACCAUGACCUGCUUAGACAGAUGGCCUGGGGAAUUCGGCCUUUUCUCGCUUAUUAUUAUUUUUAUUUUUACAGACCCAAAGAGAGAGCAGCCUUCACGUCUAAUCUCCAUGCAAAGCCACCACCCUCCAUUCUCCACACGUCACA
rnacentral:misc_RNA from 1 species